GACAGAGGGUGCAAACGUUGUUCGGAUUUACUGGGCGUAAAGCGCGCGUAGGCGGCCUGCUAAGUCGGAUGUGAAAUCCCUCGGCUCAACCGAGGAACUGCAUCCGAUACUGGCGGGCUUGAAUCCGGGAGAGGGAUGUGGAAUUCCAGGUGUAGCGGUGAAAUGCGUAGAUAUCUGGAGGAACACCGGUGGCGAAGGCGGCAUUCUGGACCGAUACUGACGCUGAGGAGCGAAAGCCAGGGGAGCAAACGGG
rnacentral:rRNA from 1 species